rnacentral:lncRNA from 1 species
GGCCUCAGAGGUGCAGCGGGAGAAGGAAUUCCUUUUGUGCCUCUGUGCCCAGCCCUGCAGGGGCUGCCGGGACAGUAGCUGUGUCUGUGGAGAUAAGUUUCCAGCUGGCGUCUUUGCACUCACCAGGGGCUUCUCUCCUAGCAACCGUAGGCUCCUGGUCCUGCAGCUCCCUGAUGGGCUGGGAGGAGUCACGCCACGUUAUGACGGUUUUACCGACAUGAUCAGCAGGGAGCGCCACUCGAACGCUUGGAGGUAAACCCCAUAAGGCUGAGCUUGGUGUGCCGUUUACAACCAUAGCAUUUGGUCUUCUGCUUUCCAAGUCUCACAGCAUCUCCACCACUUACAGUGCCACCAAGUGGAUUCUGGCUGCUAGUGACCCCGUGUACAGCAGAGUGGAACCCUGCCUGGUGUUUUUGCACCAUCCUCUCACCUUCCAGCUCUGAAUCGGACAAUGCUCUGCCACUAUUCAGAGCGUUUUCAUGGCCAAUGUCUUCGGAAUUGGGUGGCCAGGUCCUUACUCCUAGUGUGUCUCAGUCUGGAAGCUCCGCUGAAACCACGGGUGACCCUGCUGGUAUUGGAAAUACUGGUGGCAGAGCUUUGAGCAUCACAGCAACAUGCAGCCGCCACAGUGUGACAACUGACAGAUGAGUGCCACGAUGAAGCGUGUCAGGAUCUCACACCAACAUUAUGGAGUCUCCCUCUGGAAGGCUUUGGGAAGCUAUUCUCUAUCUGUUUUAACGCAUACAUAUUAAGAAUGAUGGUUUAGAUAUUUACCAGAGAAAAAUGGAAGGAGUGUAUUUUUGAUAAAACAUUUGACUAUACAUGACAUUAAAAAUUCCUUUGAG